GGGGGGGGGGGGGGGGGGGGGGGGGGGGGGGUUUUUGGGGGUUUUGGGGUGGGGGGAGGACGGGGGGUCCAGGCCUGGGCCAGGACAUCGUCCAUGGAGCGGCCCAGGGCGGUGGCCAGGCGGCUGAGGGUGGCCAGAGCCUUGGCCAGCAGCAGAGUGGCCAUGGCCACCCCCAGGCCGGCCACGGGGGGGCUCUGGGAGCCCAGCAGGGCCAGCCCCCGCUCCAGCUCCUCGUCCCAACUGGGAUGGGACUGGGAGGGACUGGGCAGGCUCUGCAGGGCCAGCGUGGAGUAGGCAGCGGCCACCAGCUCGGCCAGCGGGCCUGGGGGGGACGGGUCCCUGUCCCCAGGAAUGUCCCCGUUCCCAGAGGGAGCUGGAAUUUUCCUGUCCCCAGCAAGGUCCCCAAGGGUGUCCCUGGUCCUAGAGGGGUCCCCGAGGGUGUCCCCGUUCCCAGAGGGGUCCUGCAGGUUUCUGUCCCCAGGAAUGUCCCUGCUGGUGUCCCCGUUCCCAAAAAUGUCCCCAUUUCCAGAGGAGUUCUGCAGAUUUCUGUCCAUGAUGGUGUCCCCAGUUCCAGAAUUGUCCUGCACAUUGUUGUCCCCAAGGAUGUCCCUGAUUGUGUCCCUGGUCCUAGAGGGGUCCCCGUUCCCAGGAAUGUCCCCGUUCCCAGAAUCACCCUGCAGAUUCCUGUCCCUGUCCCUGGUCCUAGCAAGGUCCCCGUUCCUGAUGGUGUCCCCAUUCCCAGAAUUGUCCUGCAGAUUCUUGACCCCAAGGAUGUCCCUGUCCCUGCCGGUGUCCCCGUUCCCAGGAAUGUCCCCGUUCCCAGAAUCACCCUGCAGAUUCCUGUCCCUGUCCCUGCUGCUGUCCCCGUUCCCAGAAUCACCCUGCAGAUUCCUGUCCCUGUCCCUGGUCCUAGCAAGGUCCCCGUUCCUGAUGGUGUCCCCAUUCCCAGAAUUGUCCUGCAGAUUCUUGACCCCAAGGAUGUCCCUGUCCCUGCCGGUGUCCCCGUUCCCAGGAAUGUCCCCGUUCCCAGAAUCACCCUGCAGAUUCCUGUCCCUGUCCCUGGUCCUAGCAAGGUCCCCGUUCCUGAUGGUGUCCCCAUUCCCAGAAUUGUCCUGCAGAUUCUUGACCCCAAGGAUGUCCCUGUCCCUGCCGGUGUCCCCGUUCCCAGGAAUGUCCCCGUUCCCAGAAUCACCCUGCAGAUUCCUGUCCCUGUCCCUGGUCCUAGCAAGGUCCCCGUUCCUGAUGGUGUCCCCAUUCCCAGAAUUGUCCUGCAGAUUCUUGACCCCAAGGAUGUCCCUGUCCCUGCCGGUGUCCCCGUUCCCAGGAAUGUCCCCGUUCCCAGAAUCACCCUGCAGAUUCCUGUCCCUGUCCCUGGUCCUAGCAAGGUCCCCGUUCCUGAUGGUGUCCCCAUUCCCAGAAUUGUCCUGCAGAUUCUUGACCCCAAGGAUGUCCCUGUCCCUGCCGGUGUCCCCGUUCCCAGGAAUGUCCCCGUUCCCAGAAUCACCCUGCAGAUUCCUGUCCCUGUCCCUGGUCCUAGCAAGGUCCCCGUUCCUGAUGGUGUCCCCAUUCCCAGAAUUGUCCUGCAGAUUCUUGACCCCAAGGAUGUCCCUGUCCCUGCCGGUGUCCCCGUUCCCAGGAAUGUCCCCGUUCCCAGAAUCACCCUGCAGAUUCCUGUCCCUGUCCCUGGUCCUAGCAAGGUCCCCGUUCCUGAUGGUGUCCCCAUUCCCAGAAUUGUCCUGCAGAUUCUUGACCCCAAGGAUGUCCCUGUCCCUGCCGGUGUCCCCGUUCCCAGGAAUGUCCCCGUUCCCAGAAUCACCCUGCAGAUUCCUGUCCCUGUCCCUGGUCCUAGCAAGGUCCCCGUUCCUGAUGGUGUCCCCAUUCCCAGAAUUGUCCUGCAGAUUCUUGACCCCAAGGAUGUCCCUGUCCCUGCCGGUGUCCCCGUUCCCAGGAAUGUCCCCGUUCCCAGAAUCACCCUGCAGAUUCCUGUCCCUGUCCCUGGUCCUAGCAAGGUCCCCGUUCCUGAUGGUGUCCCCAUUCCCAGAAUUGUCCUGCAGAUUCUUGACCCCAAGGAUGUCCCUGUCCCUGCCGGUGUCCCCGUUCCCAGGAAUGUCCCCGUUCCCAGAAUCACCCUGCAGAUUCCUGUCCCUGUCCCUGGUCCUAGCAAGGUCCCCGUUCCUGAUGGUGUCCCCAUUCCCAGAAUUGUCCUGCAGAUUCUUGACCCCAAGGAUGUCCCUGUCCCUGCCGGUGUCCCCGUUCCCAGGAAUGUCCCCGUUCCCAGAAUCACCCUGCAGAUUCCUGUCCCUGUCCCUGGUCCUAGCAAGGUCCCCGUUCCUGAUGGUGUCCCCAUUCCCAGAAUUGUCCUGCAGAUUCUUGACCCCAAGGAUGUCCCUGUCCCUGCCGGUGUCCCCGACGAUUCCAGUGGGAAUUCAGGCACAAUUUGGGAUUUGGGAUCCUGCAGGGAAUGAUUCCAGUGGGAAUUCGGGGAGAAUUUGGGAUUUGGGAAUACCACAGGAAAUGAUUCCCAGCUCUUGGAGGGGUUCUGGACUGGGAAUUCAGGGAGAAUUUGUGAUUUUUGGGAUGAUUCCCAGCUCCUGGAGGGGUUUG
rnacentral:lncRNA from 12 species